CUCCCCCUUCGCUCCUCCAUUUCUUUCAUUUUUCCCAAGCUCAGCUCAUCAAAAGAGACUGCAACAACAUAUUCCAGUGACGAAGGACACACAUCCUUCCAUCAUGCCGGAAGUCGCCCACCUGGCCUCCAUGAAGCCGCAGUUGCCCACAGCGACCCCAGGCCCCAGUUUCAAUGCCACCCCAACGACCACCACCGUGUCACUCCCAUGGGAGGAACUGCACAUGCAAGUGCACACCAUCCUGAUUGUUGUUAUUUUUUGUGUGGUCUGCUUGCUGCUCCUGCUGGCCUUCUUCUACGCUUUCUGUUUCCACUGCUCUAUUGGCUCAUCCCCCAAAGGCUCGCACAGAGCCAAUGGGUGCAGCCUAGAUCAAGAGGACGCCACCUAUAAGUGCAGUUCAUCUGAUAACCAGUCAGUGGGGAACAUUGUCUGACAUGGGAGGCAGGAGAACUGAUAUUUGAUGACAAUGUAUUUAUGUUAGAAUUACUCUGUUUAGAAUGGUCUUGGUCUUGUUGCAGUACUGAAAAUUAAAACCUGCUUAAACCACA